UAAAAAAUAAUGUAUGUAAUGUUUAAACAGUCAAAUUUACAAAAAAUGGAAAUUAUAAAUGAUUUUUUCAAUAUUGUCUUCACAUGAUUUAUUGGAACACCAAAAUUUCCUGAAAUGUAUUUAUAUUGUUCUAUCAGCAAAAUAUUGGUAUUACAAGAAUGGGAAUCACAAAAAUUUAGUGAGCCAAUGGUUUUACAGAUCUGAAUUAUAACUUAUGUAUAAACAAGCUUAUUAAUACUCCUGCUCUCCCCACUUCCAAAUUUUCUGAUCCUGUCUGCUAUUCAAGUCAGAAAGCCUAGAGAACUUUAUAAGCAUUACCACAUACUGAUGGGUGGGACUAACACAACUUCAAGGAACUGUUAGAUAUUUUCUCAAUACUGAGAUUCAAUACCUUCAGGGCAGAAUCCACAGGGGGUUGGCUAGUCCAAUUUGCUAAUUCCAACUUAUUGUGUGUGUGUGUGUGCGCGCGCGCGUGUGUCUUUUACUCAACUUUGGAUCUAACAACUUAUUACCAACCUCCUGGAACGAUUUCUUUCCCAAAACAUGUUCUUGCUUACAGAUGACCUUCCUAAUUCAUUUGUGAACUAAAAUUUUAGAGAAAUCGCUGAAGACUUCUGCUCAGGCAAAAAGAAAAUCCAACCAUGACUGAAGAUAAUCACUUGAACAACUCAAGCCCACCAACAUGACCAGUGUUUUUCCUGUCGUAUGUUAAAAUGAAAAUGCCGGUCAAAAAAGGCUUCAAGAGAACAUCAAAAUAUUAAAGUAGUGCUUUUCUUUGUUUUACCUAUGGUUAUCUUAAAAUGGGUUUGAAGUCCCUCCUACCACCCCCAGAAUAAUAAAAAAAAAAUCUGCUGUAAGAUUUCUGGAUAAAUUAGGCAUCUAGUUGUUCUAUCAAAUCUUAAUUAGAUAAAAUUGUACAAGGGCAUUCCAUUUAUAUAGCAUUUCAUGUAAACAUCCAAAACCCUAUCAAAGACAAGUCUUAAAGAACUUUCACAGGAGAAUAUUGUUUUAUUAAAACUAGAAUGAUGUGAAAGUCCACAUACAAACAAGAAAAAUGGGCUCAAUGCUAAACCACCUUGGCCACUGGGCCCAUUCUUCUCUACUUUAGACACAAGAUAGCUCUGUUCUGGAGCUCCUGUAGAGCAGGGAAUAAAAAGCAGAAUUAUAUGAUGGCUAAGUAUAGGUACUAAAGUCAGUACUACUUGGAUCUGAGGCCCAACUCUACCAAUUUACUAGCUGUGUUACCUUGAGCAGUUUUUAUAUUCCGUUUUCUUAUCUAUAAAAUGAGGAUAUGAACAGUAGCCAGCUCUUCAUUUGCUAACUUAACAGAGCUAUGACAAGCUAUUAUGGCAGAUAGUUAAGAGAUGGGAUCACAAGAAAAGAUAAAGAAAAACUAAGGUGAAGACAGUCAUAGUAAGAAUUUAAGCCAAGUGAGGAUCUUCUGAGAGAUUAGAUAGGUCACUUGUGUGGUCCAAUGGCUAGCUACUUAGCAGGUCACUUAGGAAUAAAGACAUGGUUGCCCGACCUUCAAUAAGACUGAACUCUAACUUUGGAGAUGCUUUACAGAAGGAUUCAGUCAUUUUUAAUAAAUGAAACGAAGCUUAUCCUAAGAAUGAUUUAGACUCCAUUCUGUACUCAAUGGGAGAUGCCAUCAAUGUCUAGGAAACUUGGCAUCUCUGAGGUAGACUUUUAAAACUUGAGAUUUUGAAUAAUGCCAAUAUUAGACAUUGCCUUGAAAUUCAGUAGGUAUCUACAAACAAACCUAUCCCCAGGCUCCAAGCUUGGUAGAGUAGAAUGACCAAAUUUUUAGUCCAGUGCUCACUUGACUCUGUAAGUCAUGAUAUGAGAGUACAAAUUCUUCUAGUGUUAUAUUUCUUAGGACUCCUACGAGUAAUAAUAUAAUAAGUCUGUAAACACUUCUGCAAUUAUGAAGAUGUUUACAAUUACUUAUAAACCUAUACUAGUAAGAUAUGGUUUUUAUAUACUUAAUAGUAAGCUAAAGAUUAUACCCUCACAGAUUUUUAGUCUUUUAUUUUAGUGUCUAUAAAAAGACAACCAAGUAAGAAAAGAAUGCUUCCACUCACAAUGCCAAGCCCCCCUCCUCUCCUACUUCUCCCAAAAGCCAUCUAAAAAUAAGUUCAGUUUUCUGGGCACCUGGGCAGCUCAGCAGGUUAAGCAUCCAACUCUUGAUUUUAGCUCAGGUCAUGAUCUCACAGUUUAUGAGUUUGAGCCCUACAUUGGGCUCUGUGCUGACAUUGUGGGGCAUGCUUGGGAUUCUCUCUCUCCCUCUCCCUCUGCCCCUGUCCUGCUUGUGCACUCUCUCUCUUUCAAAAUAAACAAACACUAAAAAAAUAAAUAAAAAUAAACAAAAAUAAGCUCAGUUUUCAAUUUUAUCCGUGGGGUUAAUAGUUACUAAAUUGUAAGUCUACAGAUAAUUAUAGGAAAGACAGACAAAUGAACUCAAAAUUUUAAUUCCAAUACAGAUUCCCAAAAUAUUAAUAUUAUUCCCUAAUGCUUUAUUUCUUUGAACUGUAAAUGAAAUAUAAUGCUUAUCUUUUUAGAAAAUAUUUAUUUAUUUAUUUAUUUUUGAAAGCAAGAGAGCUUGAGUUGGGAAAAGGAGGGAGGGGGGGAGGGGAGGGGGAGACAGGGUGAGAGAGAGAAAGAGAGAGAGAGAGGAGGAAUCUGAAGCAGGUUCUACAUUAAGCAUGGAGCUGAUGCAGGGCUUGAUCCUAGGAACUGUGAGACCUGAGCCAAAAUCAAGACUGAGCCACCCAGGUGCCCAUAAUACGUAUCUUUACGUAAGUCCAUUUAACCUUCUUUGUCUCAGUUUCUUCACUUGUAAAAUGGGAAUAUAGUAUCAUUUACCUUAUAAAACUGUUAAGAAUUAGACAAUUUAUGUAAAAUACACAGUGUCAGGCAUACAGGAUUAAGUGCUGAAUAAAUGUUAGUUACUGAGAUUUUUAUUAUUUUUCUGUUAAGGUUUGCUCAAAAAAUUGCAAUUUUUUUUUUUUUUUUUACUGCAAUUAUGGAAACAUCAGCAACCAGAAAUGCCACCAGCAAAGCUGCUGGAACUGGGGGUGGGGGUGGGGGAUCUGAUUCUGUUUAUGAUUAAAACGAAGAUCUGUAAACUGCUAUACAUUAUUUUCAAGAUAGAAGCUCUUAAAGAAAGACUACGAACAGGGGAAAGAAAUCAAUGCAACCCUAUCCCCAGCCUUUUUAUAUCACAAGUCCUCACGUGAUCUAAAGUAAACUUCAGAAAAUAUACCAUGAAAGAAUGUUAGAGGAAUUUUAAGUAUAUAAAAAAAGAAAGAGAGCAAAAAGAAUAUAAAUGAGGUAAUGGAAAAUGCAGAUGUAAUUUUGGCUAAAGAGAAAGCCAGGGCUGGCUGCCAUUUGGUCAGAGCUCAUUCCUGGUAUUCAAACAAAAAUGACCAAACAUGCUUUAUUGCUGUUUUAGAAUAUAAUAUAUAAUCUAGUGAGAAGAAUAAGGUAAAGUACUCCAUGGUGUAUAUUAUCUACAAAUCAAACCAAAGAAAGGAAAGGGAAUAAAAGUCUUAAAAUAUCAAAAGCCAAUGACAUUUUUUGACCAUUAGACAUUUUUAAAAAAAUGUUUAUUUAUUUUUGAAGGAGAGAGAGACAGAGCAUGAGCUGGGGAGGGGCAGAGAGAGAGAGGGAGACACAGAAUCCAAAGCAGGCUCCAGGCUCUGAGCUGUCAGCACAGAGCCCAACGCGGGGCUCGAACUCACGAGCCAUGAGAUCACGACCUGAACCAAAGUAGGAUGCUUAACCAACUGAGCCACCUGGGUACCCUGACCAUUAGACAUUUUUGAGACCAGUGUCACAGUCUUUUAUACUCUAGAAAAGGGGAAGGGGGAAAUACCUUUAAUUUCCAUACAGCUACAUACAGCUUUGGAUUUUGUCAAAGUUAUCUGAAUAAAAAUGUGAAUGAACACCUAAUAUCUUCGAAAACAUUUAUACACAGGUUAGCAGAAGUUUCUAAAACUAAAGUAAAAUAAAGAACUGCAUCCUAUUAAAAGAUCAAGAUAAGUAAACAAUUAUUGUAAAACAGAGGAUCAGAUAAAAUCUGGAGACCACUGUAAGUUUAGGCAUGCUUUAAACAUUUCAUCAAGUGUGAUGAGGGCACCACUGACGAAGGCUGGCAAAGAAAUAAAUGUACUUCUUCCACGACACAGGAGAGAGAAGAGAUUACUGACAAGGUAAUGUUGGAUCUGAGCCUUUGGUCUUGAAGAGACGUUAAGUUCCGUAAGGGCAGGGACAAAGUCCAUUUUGUGGCCUGCUGUGCAAAUACUGGCUGGCCAGCUGAAGCACCAAAGGAAAACUGGGGUAGGUGGGAAAUUGACUGAUUGUAAAACUGCCUCACAAAGAAAUCUAUUGUAUUUAAAACAAAGUUACUGGAACAAUGAGAAGAGCCAGAAAGCAAUCAUUUAAUUAAUUCAACCAACAAAUAGUACCAAGGCUGGGAAGAAACAGCCUUAUUUACAAUAGCUGAGUAUGGAAGCAACCGAAGUGUUCAUCAAUAGAUGAAUGGAUAAAGAAGAUGCGGGUGUGUACACACACAC